rnacentral:lncRNA from 1 species
GUUCAGCAUUUUAGACCGAACAAAGGAACAGGUAUUUUCAAAGUGAGCUUUCAAAGAAGGCUUUUAAACUCUUUUUGAUCUCUCUAAGUCUCUUAAAGGGAAUUUAAAUUGAGAAUGGGUGACAUUCUUUGUUCAUGUGCCACUCCAUAUUAUUAGCUUUGUAAACAGAUGCUGGGCCUCAUUCAUGUCACUCACACUAACAAUUUGGCUUCGUUGCCCAUUCUCAUAUUUUCUGACUUACUUUUGAUGAUGUGCAACUUGUCAGGGCAAGGUGGCUAUUUAUUUGGGGCUAAUGUUUGUGUGGACACUUAGCAACGUGUCUGCUUCUCUUAAUAAACCACUUAAAGUGAAGUAAGGAAGUUCAUUCAGAGUUUCAUCUCCCUUGUUCUCCUCUGCAGGCCCUUGUGUUCCCCCCUCUCUGAACAGACAACGGCCAUGAAGAAUGGGACACAAGCCAGGGACUGAUGUGGGAGAGGGGAAUUGCCCCAAAUCAGGCUUGGAUUCAAACCUAAGGAAGUUAAUGAAAGGAACAUUUUCCACCCCUCCUUCCCCAACCUUCCAGGAAGGCUGUUAGAAAUAUUUGUCCCGGUAUACCUGACUGCACCAUCCCAGCUUUAUUCCCUGAAACAGCCUAUCAUCACCAAGAUUGUGUUACGAUAGUGGAGGGCAUGCCCCAUCCUCAGCACAUUAUAUAAGGGCGCAGUAAGUUUCACACGUCAUUCCAUCCGCUAUGCAGUGCAACUGUUAAACAGAGAGAAAACACACAAAGCCCUCAACAUCUUUCCCCACUUUUAUCUGUUAGGAAUUAUUCAGGCUUUCCACUUCACAAAGGUUCGAGCUAUUCUGAGCUCAGGAGGGCCACCCAAAAUGAAAGCAGGGCACACACUUGGCAAUAUUGACAAGAUCUUGAAAGAAGGAGCCUCCAGUGUCGAGUUUUGCUUUUGAUUGUGCCAGCCAUUCAUUAAGAUCUCAAGCUGGUUCCUCAAACAACACUUGGCCUGUAUGUACUCUCGACUAGAAACAGCCAGUAUUUCUAGCGCAGUUUAUGUGAUGAACUCGGACACCGUUUCUCCCAUGAGAGCCAUGUUACAAAACUGUGACCAUAAAACCAUUACAGACAACCUAGGUGGGUUGUCCAUGACAUAUAGUUAAGCUCUCAGAAAAAUAAAUCCCUUUUACGUAUCGGUUAGGAAAACUACGGUCGGUUGCGUUCUCAGCUGAAGUGUGUGGGUUUUAGGAGGAGUGGGGGAGAUGUGGCUUCUUUUGAAGGGUUCCAACUAUCUCAAAAUCAGGAGAGAGAAAUAAAUUAAUCUCCCAUUUGAUGACAUUGGCAGUUCUGGCUGCAGAAACUAUUUGGAAAUGUAAAAGUGCCAGUGCUGUACUACAGUUCCAGCAUGUUCCCUCCAGAAAAAAGGGGGGAAAUCUGCAUUUUAUUUAAUCCCUAGAGAACUGAAUGAAGUAGCCAGGGACAAGCACACCACAGAGAGGAUCUGUUCAGUUUCAUGGAAGCAGGCACUAAGUAGUUGUUGCUGGCACUGCCUACCUGCUUUGACAGGCUGGUGCCACACGGAAUCUCAGCAGAAGCCCUGUAGGAAAAGUUCUGAGGAGCAACACAACGGAGGCCCUUAUUGGAAUUAUAUUUCAUAAGCCUGGUUUACAGCGAAGGGCAAAGCAAACUGUAAAAGUCACUCAGAUUCAGCUGUGAACCACAAAACCUGUUCUUAGCUUUGUGCUCUUCCACUUUGGUUCAACGCUAUGGGAAGCUCCAGCAACUGAUUAACUGCCUGAGCACUACAUAAGAUUGCUUACGGCAGAAGGACCCCAUAUUUUAGAGGACCUGCACUAUGUAACUCCUUGUGGUUGUAUGAUUGUGCAAUGCUUGGUUAGCAAAUAUUUUUACACCACUGGUAGGGCCGGCCCAAGAGAUCUUGCUGCCUGAAGCAAAGCAGCAAAUGGCACCCUCCCCUCCAAGACAAGGAGCAGAAUACCUGUGUGCAGCCAAGUUAUUUUGGCACCUGAGACGGACCAUCCCACCAGUCCCUCCUUAACAGUAAAAAUGCAGCAAUAAUAAAUCAAGCCAAAAUCAGCUGUGUAAGUCAGUCACCUCACUGUGCAUAAUGGUGGGAGAGGGAGAGGGAGAGAGAAUGAAUAGCAAGUGCCCAGUGGGAAAUAAUAUAGUAACAUCAAAUCUUAGUUUUGAAGUCCUGC